GUAAAUGGCUGCAUAAAACUGAGUGUACUAAGGUAGCGCUAUAAUUUGCCCUUUAAGUGGGGGCUGGUAUGAAAGGGUUCACGUGAAAGUUGCUGUGUCACAAAAAACUUUUUAAAUUAACUUUCAGGUGAAGAGGCCUGGCUUGUUGUAAAGGACGACAAGACCCUAGAAGCUUUACUUAUGGUGUUUUAUGGGUAUAAAUUACCUAAGUUUUGUUGGGGCAACAUAGUUAGUAAGUAUAACUUUUUUUUAAAAAAACUCACAGGUUGUAACCAUGUUUAGUGAAUAAGAUAAGUUACUCUAGGGAUAACAGCGUAAUUUUUUUUAAUAGUUCGUAUUGUAAAAAAAGUUUGCGACCUCGAUGUUGGAUUAAGGUGUCCUUAAGGUGCAGAAGUCUUAAAGGGUUGGCCUGUUCGUCCAUUAAAACCUUACA
rnacentral:rRNA from 1 species